AUCUUCGUGAUUGUGCGGUGUCGAAGCGAAGGUGUUAAGCUCGCCGCCUGGGAAGUAUGGUCGCAAGGCUGAAACUUAAAGGAAUUGGCGGGGGAGCACUACAAGGGGUGCGGCGUGCGGUUUAAUCUAAUUCAACGCAGAGAAACUCACCAGAAGCGACGGCAGGAUGAAGGUCAGUCUGAAGGGCUUACCUAACAAGCCGAGAGGUAGUGCAUGGCCGUCGUCAGCUCGUGCCGUAAGGUGUCCUGUUAAGUCAGGCAACGAGCGAGACCUGCACUUAUAAUUGCUAAUGGCUCUACUAGAGGACCAAGCACAUUAUAAGAACUGCCCUUGAAAAAGGGAGGAAGGUGCAGGCUACGGUAGGUCUGUAUGCUCCGAAUCUUCUGGGCUACACGCGCGCAACAAUGGUACGGACAAUGGGUCACAACUCCGAAAGGAGAAGUUAAUCCUCUAAACCGUAUCUUAGUUCAGAUUGAGGAUUGUAACCCAUCCUCAUGACGCUGGAAUCCCUAGUAAUCGGGUUUUAUCAUAGCCUGGUGAAUAUGUCCCUGCUCCUUGCACACACCGCCCGUCAAACCACCCGAGUAGGGUUUAGAUGAGGUCUCAUUUUUAAUGAGUUCGAAUCUAAGCUCAGCGAGGAGGGUUAAGUCGUAACAAGGUAGCC
rnacentral:rRNA from 1 species